GGGUUGUGAGGUUAAGCGACUAAGCGUACACGGUGGAUGCCCUGGCAGUCAGAGGCGAUGAAGGACGUGCUAAUCUGCGAUAAGCGUCGGUAAGGUGAUAUGAACCGUUAUAACCGGCGAUUUCCGAAUGGGGAAACCCAGUGUGUUUCGACACACUAUCAUUAACUGAAUCCAUAGGUUAAUGAGGCGAACCGGGGGAACUGAAACAUCUAAGUACCCCGAGGAAAAGAAAUCAACCGAGAUUCCCCCAGUAGCGGCGAGCGAACGGGGAGCAGCCCAGAGCCUGAAUCAGUGUGUGUGUUAGUGGAAGCGUCUGGAAAGGCGCGCGAUACAGGGUGACAGCCCCGUACACAAAAAUGCACAUGCUGUGAGCUCGAUGAGUAGGGCGGGACACGUGGUAUCCUGUCUGAAUAUGGGGGGACCAUCCUCCAAGGCUAAAUACUCCUGACUGACCGAUAGUGAACCAGUACCGUGAGGGAAAGGCGAAAAGAACCCCGGCGAGGGGAGUGAAAAAGAACCUGAAACCGUGUACGUACAAGCAGUGGGAGCACGCUUAGGCGUGUGACUGCGUACCUUUUGUAUAAUGGGUCAGCGACUUAUAUUCUGUAGCAAGGUUAACCGAAUAGGGGAGCCGAAGGGAAACCGAGUCUUAACUGGGCGUUAAGUUGCAGGGUAUAGACCCGAAACCCGGUGAUCUAGCCAUGGGCAGGUUGAAGGUUGGGUAACACUAACUGGAGGACCGAACCGACUAAUGUUGAAAAAUUAGCGGAUGACUUGUGGCUGGGGGUGAAAGGCCAAUCAAACCGGGAGAUAGCUGGUUCUCCCCGAAAGCUAUUUAGGUAGCGCCUCGUGAAUUCAUCUCCGGGGGUAGAGCACUGUUUCGGCAAGGGGGUCAUCCCGACUUACCAACCCGAUGCAAACUGCGAAUACCGGAGAAUGUUAUCACGGGAGACACACGGCGGGUGCUAACGUCCGUCGUGAAGAGGGAAACAACCCAGACCGCCAGCUAAGGUCCCAAAGUCAUGGUUAAGUGGGAAACGAUGUGGGAAGGCCCAGACAGCCAGGAUGUUGGCUUAGAAGCAGCCAUCAUUUAAAGAAAGCGUAAUAGCUCACUGGUCGAGUCGGCCUGCGCGGAAGAUGUAACGGGGCUAAACCAUGCACCGAAGCUGCGGCAGCGACGCUUAUGCGUUGUUGGGUAGGGGAGCGUUCUGUAAGCCUGCGAAGGUGUGCUGUGAGGCAUGCUGGAGGUAUCAGAAGUGCGAAUGCUGACAUAAGUAACGAUAAAGCGGGUGAAAAGCCCGCUCGCCGGAAGACCAAGGGUUCCUGUCCAACGUUAAUCGGGGCAGGGUGAGUCGACCCCUAAGGCGAGGCCGAAAGGCGUAGUCGAUGGGAAACAGGUUAAUAUUCCUGUACUUGGUGUUACUGCGAAGGGGGGACGGAGAAGGCUAUGUUGGCCGGGCGACGGUUGUCCCGGUUUAAGCGUGUAGGCUGGUUUUCCAGGCAAAUCCGGAAAAUCAAGGCUGAGGCGUGAUGACGAGGCACUACGGUGCUGAAGCAACAAAUGCCCUGCUUCCAGGAAAAGCCUCUAAGCAUCAGGUAACAUCAAAUCGUACCCCAAACCGACACAGGUGGUCAGGUAGAGAAUACCAAGGCGCUUGAGAGAACUCGGGUGAAGGAACUAGGCAAAAUGGUGCCGUAACUUCGGGAGAAGGCACGCUGAUAUGUAGGUGAGGUCCCUCGCGGAUGGAGCUGAAAUCAGUCGAAGAUACCAGCUGGCUGCAACUGUUUAUUAAAAACACAGCACUGUGCAAACACGAAAGUGGACGUAUACGGUGUGACGCCUGCCCGGUGCCGGAAGGUUAAUUGAUGGGGUUAGCGCAAGCGAAGCUCUUGAUCGAAGCCCCGGUAAACGGCGGCCGUAACUAUAACGGUCCUAAGGUAGCGAAAUUCCUUGUCGGGUAAGUUCCGACCUGCACGAAUGGCGUAAUGAUGGCCAGGCUGUCUCCACCCGAGACUCAGUGAAAUUGAACUCGCUGUGAAGAUGCAGUGUACCCGCGGCAAGACGGAAAGACCCCGUGAACCUUUACUAUAGCUUGACACUGAACAUUGAGCCUUGAUGUGUAGGAUAGGUGGGAGGCUUUGAAGUGUGGACGCCAGUCUGCAUGGAGCCGACCUUGAAAUACCACCCUUUAAUGUUUGAUGUUCUAACGUUGACCCGUAAUCCGGGUUGCGGACAGUGUCUGGUGGGUAGUUUGACUGGGGCGGUCUCCUCCUAAAGAGUAACGGAGGAGCACGAAGGUUGGCUAAUCCUGGUCGGACAUCAGGAGGUUAGUGCAAUGGCAUAAGCCAGCUUGACUGCGAGCGUGACGGCGCGAGCAGGUGCGAAAGCAGGUCAUAGUGAUCCGGUGGUUCUGAAUGGAAGGGCCAUCGCUCAACGGAUAAAAGGUACUCCGGGGAUAACAGGCUGAUACCGCCCAAGAGUUCAUAUCGACGGCGGUGUUUGGCACCUCGAUGUCGGCUCAUCACAUCCUGGGGCUGAAGUAGGUCCCAAGGGUAUGGCUGUUCGCCAUUUAAAGUGGUACGCGAGCUGGGUUUAGAACGUCGUGAGACAGUUCGGUCCCUAUCUGCCGUGGGCGCUGGAGAACUGAGGGGGGCUGCUCCUAGUACGAGAGGACCGGAGUGGACGCAUCACUGGUGUUCGGGUUGUCAUGCCAAUGGCACUGCCCGGUAGCUAAAUGCGGAAGAGAUAAGUGCUGAAAGCAUCUAAGCACGAAACUUGCCCCGAGAUGAGUUCUCCCUGACUCCUUGAGAGUCCUGAAGGAACGUUGAAGACGACGACGUUGAUAGGCCGGGUGUGUAAGCGCAGCGAUGCGUUGAGCUAACCGGUACUAAUGAACCGUGAGGCUUAACCUUACAACGCCGAAGGUGUUU
rnacentral:rRNA from 5 species